UACGUAGGGUGCGAGCGUUAAUCGGAAUUACUGGGCGUAAAGCGUGCGCAGGCGGUAAUGCAAGACAGAUGUGAAAUCCCCGGGCUUAACCUGGGAACUGCAUUUGUGACUGCAUUGCUGGAGUGCGGCAGAGGGGGAUGGAAUUCCGCGUGUAGCAGUGAAAUGCGUAGAUAUGCGGAGGAACACCGAUGGCGAAGGCAAUCCCCUGGGCAUGCACUGACGCUCAUGCGCGAAAGCGUGGGGAGCAAACAGG
rnacentral:rRNA from 1 species